GAAGUUGCCCCGAGCCCGGGGAUUGGGGGAAGUGGCUGUGCGAGAGGGGCCCCAGGGUGGCUGGCAGGCGGCGGGCCGGCAGAGGCCGGUAGUGCCAAGGCUUGGGCUGGAGUGGAGAUGCAGCUGGGGCUGGGGUCGAGGGCCCUGAGAAGCCGGUGUGUCGGGCCCGGAGGGCAGUGUGUGCGGAGGCGGGGCCUGAGCACAGCCCAGGCUGCAGAGCUUCCCAGGGCUGCUCCGGGGACGGGGACGGGGACGCAAUGGCUCUCUCCUUCUUGCACUUUGGAAGGCGACGUCCCAGAGUUGGGCUCUUUCCAGAACAGGUCGUUUCGCUGGCAGCAGAACAUGGGUGAAGGUAAGAGAAAAGCAUCUGAUCUUUGAAGACACUGACGAUGUGCCACUGGACCCAGGACCCAGAUCCCCACCCACAGGGGCCCUGGAGGCAGUCCCCCAAGGGCUAGGUGCACAGAGCCACCCUCCUGACUUAGGAGGGGCAGAGAAAAGUGUGUCUGCCCCCACGGAUCCCAGGCCCAGAGUCUGUCUUUCGGCAUCCUUUGGGUGCUUUGCAACGACUCGCUGGUGUCCGUGAUGAAGGAGGAAAGCCAAGUCUUCUCCGUUUGGAGAGAUCUGUGUUUCUCGCCUGUUGUGCGCUGCGAUUGUGUUCUCUGUGUUCUCGCGGCGUGAAGUCUUCAGGCUUGGCCAGUUUUGCAGCCACAGAGACGAAGCGAAGUGGUGUGCUUGUCAGUGGCAUGAGGUGGGUCAGCAAGUCUCAUGGGCCCUUUCACUUGGGAGCUGAUCGUUCCUAAGGGAAGCACAGCCGUCAGGCAUCCCCUGGCAUCUGGAGAUUUGUUGCUGGAUUAGUGGCGGUGCUUCCCCGAGGGCGCUCAUGUGCCAGCCAUGGGCCAAGGUGCUCCAUCUCCCACGCAAGAGACUGUCUCAGAGAGCGGUGGCCAAGGACGUUGCCUGGGUCCUCGUGGGCACAGGCUUCUCAUGACACGGCUUCAGUGACUUGGACGUGGUCCCAGGGCAGCGGGGCUGCAUUUCCGAUGGGGACGUGAGAGCGCUCCCCAGAGAUGGAGCGCAAGCAGACGCCAUUCCACAGCACCGAAGGAACUGGGGAGGGACGAUGAUGGGUUUUCUUCUGGCGACGCGGACACUUUCCUUUGUAUUUUCUGGAGAGAAGACUCCCUUUCUCCUUUGGCUUGUGCCGUUCCGCACCCAUCCCCAGUGAGUAGACUCUCCUUCUGUAAGUCCCAAUAAAACACGGAUUUGUUUUCUCCC